UAUAGGAACUACAAUACAUCAGUUUAAUAGACACAUAGAACUAUAACUAUCAUUGCCCUCUGGUGGACACAUGGUGGAACUACAAUACAUCAGUUUAAUAGACACAUAGAACUAUAACUAUCACUGCCCUCUGGUGGACACAAGGUGGAACUACAAUACAUCAGUUUAUCAUAUUUAUUUAUUUUCACAGUUGAUUUAUAUUUAUGCUGUUUUACAUGGCUGUUUUUAAUUUAUUUCAUAUUUAUCUUUCAUUGUCAUUUCUUUUUUUUCUUCCUUUCUUUUUUAUUUUAUUUAUGUAUUUAUUUUUUUUAGGUCUCCAGUGUUCUGUCACGCUUGGGGAUGUUCCUUUCUACCCCUGUCCCUUGGGUCCCCUCGGCCUGGGUCGCUGGACGCUCUGCACUUAGGUGUAGGGACCACCUCUCUGCCUGGGGUGGGCUGAUCUUUGCUCGUGAGGAGUAGAAAAUGCUCAUUUCUGGUCAAUUCAUUUCACAAACUUAGGUGACAAAAACUCACAAAUGAACCCACCAACAAGAACUCAUACCGUUUCAUCUCUUUUCAGUCUUCAUCGUCUUAGGCUACGAGAGAAAAUGUUCUAAUAAAAAUAUGAGACUGUAGGUGUGAAAUAUUAAGCUAAAAUUCUACAAUCAAUGAGUAUCAGUGUUAUUGGAUGUGAACAGUUGUAGUUCCUCAUAGUGACCACUGGAGGGCAAAUACCGGCAAGUAGGAAAUGAUCAUCUUUAAUGAAAUAAAACAUCUUUCCAUCACUAUAUAACUUUUACCUACAGGCUGACAUCUAAAAACCAGAAUUAAAUUAAAAAACAUAUCAAAGUAGAUGCUGAGACUGUAUGAAUGCAUCAAAUGGGCAACACCCCUACUACAAUACCCCACUUGGUAGAGUCCACCUCCCCCUUCCAUAAAUGUAGUUGGACUCCUCCACUUCCUGUUUGCCAGUCCGGCCUCCUACCUGGACAGGUGUGGAUGGAGCACAUGGAACAAACAUUUGGAACAUCAGGAGGAGACACGGCCAUGAUGGUUUCUAAGACUACGACUAAACAACAGCAACGUCGCAGGAAGACUCUACAGAACAUCAGGAGGAGACACGGCCAUGAUGGUUUCUAAGACUUCACCCGAACAACAGCAACUUUGCAAAAGUUGCAAAAGUUAAAGUGGUUUAAAAUGAUGUUAUGUUAUUGUAUGUUAUAUUAUGUACGUAGUAUUGUUUGACUGUUUCAUAAUUGUAGACUAACAUGUUUUGUUCUAAUCUCUCCAGGAGGAGACGCGGCCAUGAUGGUUUCCAGGACUGAGCCUGAACCCUUCCACUACUGUCCCUGACUCCUCCCACCUCACCACUAACUCCACCCAUUAACUCCUCCCACUGACCCCUCCCCUACUACCCAUCUCAUCUUUGACUCCACCCACUAGCCCCUCCUCUCUGCUGACUCCUCCCACCACUGACUCCUCCCCCCUCACUGUAAAACUUAGUUCUAGGAGACAUAACCCCGUCCUUCUACCUCUCAGAAACCACGGGGAGGACACGGCCCCCCCCGCGCCUGCUACCACAGGACCCCGACAACGGGCGGGAUUCGAACCACACACCACCGAGAACCCUUCACACUUGGACCUUCUCUCUGAGCGCUUUUGUCAUCGUCACUUUGGAAUCUGGACUUUAAAAGUCACGACUGUCAUAAGAUUUGAACCCAUGACUU